CACCAAGUCUAUCCAAUGCAACCUACUUUUUGGAGAAUCAAACAACGGCUGUUUACAACUGUUUGUCUGGUUUCACGCCCAGCAACGCAAACAAUGCGAUCCAUUGUAAAGACUCUAAUUGGAGCAAUAUCAGCUUAACGUGUACUUCCCAGUUAUGCACCUCUCCCCCGGAGGUCCCUAACACUGUCAAAAUAAUCAGUGGAUUCAGCAACGGAAGUUUAACAGUUUACACAUGCGUAUCAGGGUUUGUUGCCAACGAAGAGGUUCCGUAUAUUUCUUGUAACGGAACACAUUGGACAAACACGUUGUUUGCUUGCUCUGUUGCCAGUGACUGUGGGCCCCCUCCAAGCCUCCCAGAUACUAGCUAUAUUCUGGAGAAUCAGACAACAGCGGUGUACAGCUGUUUACCGGGCUAUACAUCUAACAACUCCAACAACGCAAUCUACUGUAAGGACUCUGUAUGGAGCAAUAUCAGCUUAACAU